rnacentral:misc_RNA from 1 species
ACUCGCUUGGCCAAAUCAUCAAACCAUUUACAUACACAAGACAAGGUGGCAACCAAUUUAGGGUUCCAGUUCAGCUGUUGAAACACUAAAAAAAUCACAUCUUCGCUUAGAUGCCCUUUUGUGCAUUGACAGCUUGACGAGUGUAUGCAACGAUAUUGCUUCGUUAAAAUCAUGGUCCCCACCUUUUAGGUAAAAAACUAGUAGCCAUUCGUUUUUCCUUUUCUUUAUUUGUUUUGAGGAACAGAAGAAAAAAAAAGGAAAGAAAAAAAGAAGGCAGCAGCUCCAAAUAAAAGCAGCACUACUAGCGCCUAGUAUCC